GGGCGAGUAGCUCAGGGGGAGAGCACCACUCUGACGCAGUGGGGGUCGCAGGUUCAAAUCCUGCCUCGCCCACCA
rnacentral:tRNA from 2 species